rnacentral:rRNA from 1 species
UACGAAGGGGGCUAGCGUUGCUCGGAAUCACUGGGCGUAAAGGGCGCGUAGGCGGCUUAUCAAGUCGGGGGUGAAAGCCCGUGGCUCAACCACGGAAUGGCCUUCGAUACUGGUAGGCUUGAGACCGGAAGAGGACAGCGGAACUGCGAGUGUAGAGGUGAAAUUCGUAGAUAUUCGCAAGAACACCAGUGGCGAAGGCGGCUGUCUGGUCCGGUUCUGACGCUGAGGUGCGAAAGCGUGGGGAGCAAACAGG